rnacentral:rRNA from 1 species
UACAGAGGAGCCAAGCGUUGUCCGGAAUUACUGGGCGUAAAGCGUGCGCAGGCGGCUAUGCAAGACAGAUGUGAAAGCCCUGGGCUUAACCUGGGAAUUGCAGUCGAAACUACUCGGCUAGAGUAUGGGAGAGGACAGUGGAAUUCCCGGUGUAGCGGUGAAAUGCGUAGAUAUCGGGAGGAACAUCAGUGGCGAAGGCGGCUGUCUGGCCCAAUACUGACACUCAGGUGCGACAGCGUGGGGAGCAAACAGG